AUGAACGCUGGCGGCAUGCCUAACACAUGCAAGUCGAACGAAGGCUUCGGCCUUAGUGGCGCACGGGUGCGUAACGCGUGGGAAUCUGCCCUUGGGUUCGGAAUAACAGCUAGAAAUGGCUGCUAAUACCGGAUGAUGACGUAAGUCCAAAGAUUUAUCGCCCAGGGAUGAGCCCGCGUAGGAUUAGCUAGUUGGUGGGGUAAAGGCUCACCAAGGCGACGAUCCUUAGCUGGUCUGAGAGGAUGAUCAGCCACACUGGGACUGAGACACGGCCCAGACUCCUACGGGAGGCAGCAGUGGGGAAUAUUGGACAAUGGGCGCAAGCCUGAUCCAGCAAUGCCGCGUGAGUGAUGAAGGCCUUAGGGUUGUAAAGCUCUUUUACCCGGGAUGAUAAUGACAGUACCGGGAGAAUAAGCUCCGGCUAACUCCGU
rnacentral:rRNA from 1 species